rnacentral:rRNA from 1 species
UACGAAGGGGGCGAGCGUUGUUCGGAUUUACUGGGCGUAAAGGGCGCGUAGGCGGCGGGUCAAGUCGAGUGUGAAAGCCCCGGGCUCAACCUGGGAAUUGCGCUCGAGACUGGUCUGCUUGAGUUCGGGAGAGGAGAGUGGAAUUCCCAGUGUAGAGGUGAAAUUCGUAGAUAUUGGGAAGAACACCGGUGGCGAAGGCGGCUCUCUGGACCGAGACUGACGCUGAGGCGCGAAAGCGUGGGGAGCGAACAGG